rnacentral:lncRNA from 1 species
AUGUACAACAUCUUUUAAUCCAUCCAUCUGAUGAUGGACAUUGAGUUUGUUUCCAUGUCUUGGUUGUUGUGCAUAUUGCUGCAAGGAACAGAGCAGUGCAAGUAUCAUUUUAAUUGAAUAUUUGUCCAGAUGCAUGCCCAAGAGAGGGAUUGCUGGGUCAUGCAUUUGUUCUGUAUGUAACUUUGGGUUUACCUCGAUUGUGUUGUCCAAGGUAUUUGUACCAAUUUGCAUAGCCCCUCUCCCUGUAGGAGGGCACCCUCUUCUCCACACCCUCUUCUCCACUCCCUCUCCAGGAUUUGUUUGUAGACUUACUAAGGAUGGCAUUCAGACAGGUGUGAGGUGGUACCAAAGGGUCACUGUGAUUUGCAUUUUUCUCCUAAUGAGUGAUGGUGAUUCUUUCUUUCCUGUGCUUGUUGCCCCCCGUAUAUUAGUUUAGGGAAAUUUUGCUGCGUCCAGCACUUCAGGGAAAUGGGGAAUCCUGGAAGAGGGAUGGUGCUGUUAUAACAAAACACACAAGACUACUUUACAUCUAGAAAUCGGGGGACCAGGAGGCACUCUGUUCCUAGAACAGAGGCACCUAGGCUUUAGCCCUCAUGACUUUUAUUAAGGAAGGUGAUGAGAUUAGUGGGGAAGGUGAGGGAGAUUAGUAUUAGUGGAAUUAAGACAGGUGACAAGAACAGGCACAGGCAAGGGAGGUUAUCUUCUUAGUGAUAUCAAAGGGGGUGCCCUUAGGAUGUAGUGCAGUUGUUUAUAAUAGAGUACCUUGACUAUCUCGUGUUUGAAGGAGACCCUGUACUUCAGAAUGCUGCAUUCACAGAUAUUUGUCUUCUGCAGAGUUCAGCUGUUCAGUGGUCUCCAAUAUCUCCCCCCCACCCUUUUUUUUGUUUGUUGCAUAAGAACAGUCUUAGUACAUUUUGAUUGCAGCGUGUUCAUUAGAUUUCUAUGGAUCAAUCCGAUUGUGCAGACCACGUCCGUGGCAGGUCUUCAAGAUGAACAGGUACAUUCGAGGGGUGUGGGUCUGUCUCCAUCCUCGUGGGAACCUAUCAUUCCAGCCCUUUUUUUUAUGGGGUAGGGGCAGCAGUCCUCUCUUCUGUAGCUGUUUCCUGCUCGUUAGGAGUGACGAGUACUGGAUGGCUGGAUGUGGUAGGUUCCCUCUACAGAUGAUGGGAAGAAAAGAAAAAUAAGAUUUAACAGAGGUUUGGAAUUUAGGUUGAUACAGGUACUAUUGAAGGAGGAGUGUAGUUUUAUCUAAGCAGGUUUAAAUGUUUGAUGUGGUAUUUAAGACAUAAAUAACAGGAGCUGUUGGUCCUUAGACAUGUUUCCUCCUUUCUGUUGUUAUAAGAGGAGACCUUGGAGGAGACCUUGGACUAGGGACCAUGAGGUUGCGGGUUCGAUCCCUAGCCUUGCUCAGUGGGUUAAGGAUCAGGUGUUGCCAUGAGCUGUGGUGUGGUGCAGACGCAGCUCAGAUCUGGAGUUGCUGUGGCUCUGGUGAAGGCCAGCCGCUACAGCUCCGAUUAGACCCCUCACCUGGGAACCUCCAUAUGCUGAGGGUGCGGCCCAAAAAGAAAG